CAGUAGCCACGGGAAUACGUAGGGUGCGAGCGUUAAUCGGAAUUACUGGGCGUAAAGCGUGCGCAGGCGGUUCGUUAAGACAGAUGUGAAAUCCCCGGGCUUAACCUGGGAACUGCAUUUGUGACUGGCGAGCUAGAGUAUGGCAGAGGGGGGUAGAAUUCCACGUGUAGCAGUGAAAUGCGUAGAGAUGUGGAGGAAUACCGAUGGCGAAGGCAGCCCCCUGGGCCAAUACUGACGCUCAUGCACGAAAGCGUGGGGAGCAAACAGGAUUAGAUACCCCCGUAGUCCCUGUCUCUUAUAU
rnacentral:rRNA from 1 species